rnacentral:rRNA from 1 species
UCAGUCGACUCCUACGGGGAGGCAGCAGUGGGGAAUAUUGCACAAUGGGGGAAACCCUGAUGCAGCCAUGCCGCGUGUGUGAAGAAGGCCUUCGGGUUGUAAAGCACUUUCAGUAGGGAGGAAGGUAGUGUAGUUAACACCUGCAUUAUUUGACGUUACCUACAGAAGAAGCACCGGCUAACUCCGUGCCAGCAGCCGCGGUAAUACGGAGGGUGCGAGCGUUAAUCGGAAUUACUGGGCGUAAAGCGCAUGCAGGCGGCCUGUUAAGUCAGAUGUGAAAGACCCGGGGCUUAACCUCGGAAUUGCAUUUGAAACUGGCAGGCUAGAGUCUUGUAGAGGGGGGUAGGAAUUUCAGGUGUAGCGGUGAAAAUGCGUAGAGAUCUGAAGGAAUACCAGUGGCGAAGGCGGCCCCCUGGACAAAGACUGACGCUCAGAUGCGAAAGCGUGGGGAACAAACAGGAUUAGAUACCCUGGUAG